rnacentral:rRNA from 1 species
AGAGUUUGAUCAUGGCUCAGAAUGAACGCUGGCGGCGUGCCUAACACAUGCAAGUCGGACGAGAAAGGCCGCAAGGCUGAGUAAAGUGGCGCACGGGUGAGUAAUACGUGGGAAUCUACCCUUUGGAGAAGAAUACCUCCGAGAAAUCGGGGCUAAUACUGCAUAAGUCUAGUAAUAGAGAAAGGUGGCCUAAAAGCUACCGCCGAAGGAUGAGCCCGCGGCCUAUUAGUUAGUUGGUGAGGUAAAGGCUCACCAAGACGAAGAUGGGUAGCCGGCCUGAGAGGGCGAUCGGCCACACUGGAACUGAAACACGGUCCAGACUCCUACGGGAGGCAGCAGUGGGGAAUAUUGCACAAUGGGCGCAAGCCUGAUGCAGCGACGCCGCGUGGAGGAUGAAGGUUUUCGGAUUGUAAACUCCCUGUUAAGUGGGACGAAAGACUCAUGGCUAAUAUCCAUGGGGGAUGACGGUACCGCUAGAGAAAGCACCGGCAAACUUCGUG